GGGUGCGAUCAUACUAGCAUUAAUGCACCAGAUCCCAUAAAAACUCCACAGUUAAGCACACUUAGGCUAGAUUAGUACUGGGAUGGGUGACCUCCCGGGAAGUCCUAGUGUUUCACCCU
rnacentral:rRNA from 1 species